UACGGAGGGAGCUAGCGUUGUUCGGAAUUACUGGGCGUAAAGCGCGCGUAGGCGGCCUUGCAAGUUAGAGGUGAAAGCCCGGAGCUCAACUCCGGAACUGCCUUUAAAACUGCAUAGCUUGAAUCCGGGAGAGGUGAGUGGAAUUCCGAGUGUAGAGGUGAAAUUCGUAGAUAUUCGGAAGAACACCGGUGGCGAAGGCGGCUCACUGGACCGGUAUUGACGCUGAGGUGCGAAAGCGUGGGGAGCAAACAGG
rnacentral:rRNA from 1 species